CAACAUCUUCGAAGAAGCUCUUUCCUUUAAAGAUGGCUCCACCUUCGAGGCUGGCCAACAAUUGCUUCUUCUUAUCCUCCAACAAGGUUUCUGAAUCCAUGAAUUCGAGGCAGAGAUUGGGAAGAAACUAGAGAGGACUCAGAUUUUACUAUGGGGAAUUCAAACAAUCAGAACAAUAUUGGAGUUGCCCAAACAAUAAUCAUUAAUCCGACCUAGCUAAUCGUAUAACCUGGAGCAUCCAACAAUGGAUUGCGUCAUUAUCCUUUGAAUCUCGGUGAUCCCCAUGGCGGCAGAAAUCUUCAGUGUUCUUUCCUAGAUAGGGUUUAAUGGAGGGAGUGUGAGGGGUUUUCUUCGUUUACUGAAAACCAAGGAACCUGAGAUAAAUUUUGAAC
rnacentral:lncRNA from 1 species